UCAGAUCAUUUUUGUGGUUUGCUGGUUUUCAUGUAUAAUAACUGUGUCUUAGAACUUCCAUUGAUGGCUUCUUUUAGGGUGAACCAGGUAGUAUAAUUAUGUCAUCACUGCCAGGACCAAAGGGUAAUCCAGGAUAUCCAGGUCCUCCUGGAAUACAAGGCCCUCCUGGUCCACCAGGACUUCCAGGACCAAAGGGGAAUAUGGGCUUAAAUUUCCAGGGACCCAAAGGUGAAAAGGGUGAGCAAGGUCUUCAGGGCCCACCUGGGCCACCUGGGCAGAUCAGUGAACAGAAAAGACCAAUUGAUGUAGAGUUUCAGAAAGGAGAUCAGGGACUUCCUGGUGACCGAGGGCCUCCUGGACCUCCAGGGAUACGUGGUCCUCCAGUAAGUAACCUAAAGUGCUUUAGCAUCAUUUAAUGUAAAUUGGCAUUGGUACACAAUAUCCUAUGAACCAAUGUGAAACUAUUUUAUGUGUACAGGGUCCCCAGGUGGUGAGAAAGGUGAGAAGGGUGAGCAAGGAGAGCCAGGCAAAAGAGUAAGUGAUGUAACUGCUAAUAUUCUUUGCAAAAAAUUCUAAAUGUGUGUGUGUGUGUGUGUGUGUGUGUGUGAUUUUAUUCUUUCUUCCUACAUCUUACUUCCAUUGUUUCAAAAUAUCACUACUGACAUCAUAAUGUUGAUGUCUAAAAAGUCUACUUAAUAUAGUCCAAUCCAGUAAUAAAGCUUGUUAUAUUCUUUAACUUUAUACUUCCUAACUAACAAAUGUAUGUUGUUGCUCUAUCAUUUCUUUGUAUCGUGUAGGGUAAACCAGGCAAAGAUGGAGAAAAUGGCCAACCAGGAAUUCCUGUAAGUAGCUAAGGUUCUUUCCCCUGCAAAACUGGAGACAUUUAUAUGUUGGUAUAAC
rnacentral:lncRNA from 1 species